rfam:Oleiphilus sp. HI0065 HI0065_c890, whole genome shotgun sequence.
GGGGGUGAUAUGGCUUCGACGCUGGUAACGAAACCAAAGGUGCAUGCCGAGUGUACAGUGGCACUCGUACUCCAAUCGCUGUAAUCAAUAGUUGCAAAUGAUGACAACUACGGUGCUCAACUAGCUGCAUAAGCAGUGAAAAAGCGCUUUUAGGGUUUCGACCCUAACGGACUGUAACAAGGUGCCUGUACCGCGCUGCAGUCUGUCACUCAGAACAGGACCGCCAAAGGGCAUACUCAGGGUCACUUGGUUAAACUUUACUGAGAUCGCCAACCACGUCCUGCCCGUUGGGCUGUGGAAGGUUAAACUAAUUAACGGAAUCUAAGCAUGUAGAGCCGAUGGCAGAGUGCUGACGGACGCGGGUUCGACCCCCGCCACCUCCACCA